UGGGGGAUAACGUCCGGAAACGGACGCUAAUACCGCAUACGUCCUACGGGAGAAAGCAGGGGACCUUCGGGCCUUGCGCUUUCAGAUGAGCCUAGGUCGGAUUAGCUAGUUGGUGGGGUAAUGGCUCACCAAGGCGACGAUCCGUAACUGGUCUGAGAGGAUGAUCAGUCACACUGGAACUGAGACACGGUCCAGACUCCUACGGGAGGCAGCAGUGGGGAAUAUUGGACAAUGGGCGAAAGCCUGAUCCAGCCAUGCCGCGUGUGUGAAAAAGGUCUUCGGAUUGUAAAGCACUUUAAGUUGGGAGGAAGGGCAGUAAAUUAAUACUUUGCUGUUUUUACGUUACCGACAGAAUAAGCACCGGCUAACUCUGUGCCAGCAGCCGCGGUAAUACAGAGGGUGCAAGCGUUAAUCGGAAUUACUGGGCGUAAAGCGCGCGUAGGUGGUUCGUUAAGUUGGAUGUGAAAUCCCCGGGCUCAACCUGGGAACCUGCUU
rnacentral:rRNA from 1 species